rnacentral:lncRNA from 12 species
GGAAAUUAUACAAAGCUAAAACAGAGAGGAAAGGCCAAUUUUAGACAGUCAGAAAAGUCAUGGUACAGUAUUGGUUAAAGGCAUGGGACUUAAGUACUGAUGAAGAAGCAGCAGAGGAAAAAAACAAUGGGGAAAAUAAUCUCAUGGGAUUUUGUUUUUGUCUUUCCAGACAACAGGACAGCAGCAGCACAGUUUUCUGUCUGCAGAGAAGACAUGUUGGCAGGGGGAGAACACGGCAGAGACAUUCUACAUGUGCUGUGUUAGUCUUUGGAACUUAUCUGAGAAGAGCCCAGAAUCCUUCUUGGGGAGUAGAAAAGGAGGCUGUCCCAUGAGAGGAAGCAGGACAUAAGGAUUGAAAACUUCACAUCUGUGUAUUAAAAUCAAAUGGUGAUCAGAAGAGUGGGGACUCAGCUCAAGAGUGAGGAUGCAACUGCCUUGUCCACUCCAGAAGCCCA